rnacentral:tRNA from 1 species
GGGCGUGUGGUCUAGGGGUAUGGCGUUCGGUAUGUUUCCAAUUUCCGAAAAGAAUCAUUUCAACAGCAACUAACAGGAAUAGCUUCGCAUCUUCUCUGAUAACGCUUUGCGAAAGGUCCGGGGUUCAAUUCCCCGUUCGUCCA